GACGAUUACUUAAGAGCCACAUGGGCUAUGUUAAUGAAUAACAAAACAGAAGUUUCAUCAAAAAUGAAAUAAUUUAUUAAGAACAUACACACAAUUCAAAACCUAUGUGAAAGGAAUAAGAUCAAAUCAAAUUCAUAUUCCAGACAUCAGUGGAGUUGUUGAAAGAAAACACAUAUUGGGGAAAGUGCGUCAAGAUUGCAGUGUGUCAAUAAUCGACAUACCAGAUACUGACACAACACCAAUGAUCAACAGUCAACACAGAUAGCAAGUCAGCAACACAAAUCGCAAAAAACCUCGACAUAUCGGAUUAAAUUUAACUUACAUGCAAGGAUGAAGCAUGUCGAGAAAGAUCAACAUAUAGAACACAACCAGGUUAUCGCAAGAGAAUUGUCAGUACAAAAGAUUAAUCUCUCA
rnacentral:lncRNA from 1 species